GUAUACGGUCAUACCCGUGGCACACGCAGGCGAACCCAUCUCGAAUUCGCAACUUAAGCGCACGUGGGCUUGGUCAGUACUGGGGUGAGGGAUCACCCGGGAACCCCAAGUGCCGUAUGC
rnacentral:rRNA from 1 species